rnacentral:rRNA from 1 species
UACAUGCAAGUCGAACGCGUCUUGGUCAAUGAUUUUAGGUGCUUGCACUUGACUGAUUUGACAUUGAGACGAGUGGCGAACUGGUGAGUAACACGUGGGUAACCUGCCCUUGAAGUAGAGGAUAACACUUGGAAACAGGUGCUAAUACUGCAUAACAACGAAAACCGCCUGGUUUUCGUUUGAAAGAUGGCUUCGGCUAUCGCUUUAGGAUGGACCCGCGGCGUAUUAGCUAGUUGGUGAGGUAACGGCUCACCAAGGCAAUGAUACGUAGCCGACCUGAGAGGGUAAUCGGCCACAUUGGGACUGAGACACGGCCCAAACUCCUACGGGAGGCAGCAGUAGGGAAUCUUCCACAAUGGACGAAAGUCUGAUGGAGCAACGCCGCGUGAGUGAUGAAGGGUUUCGGCUCGUAAAACUCUGUUGUUGGAGAAGAACGGGUGUCAGAGUAACUGUUGACAUCGUGACGGUAUCCAACCAGAAAGCCACGGCUAACUACGUGCCAGCAGCCGCGGUAAUACGUAGGUGGCAAGCGUUGUCCGGAUUUAUUGGGCGUAAAGCGAGCGCAGGCGGUUUUUUAGGUCUGAUGUGAAAGCCUUCGGCUUAACCGGAGAAGUGCAUCGGAAACCGGGAGACUUGAGUGCAGAAGAGGACAGUGGAACUCCAUGUGUAGCGGUGAAAUGCGUAGAUAUAUGGAAGAACACCAGUGGCGAAGGCGGCUGUCUGGUCUGCAACUGACGCUGAGGCUCGAAAGC